GCAGCGGUAGUUCAGUCGGUUAAUACCGGCCUGUCACGCCGGGGGUCGCGGGUUCGAGUCCCGUCCGCUGCGCCA
rnacentral:tRNA from 1 species